UACGGGGGGAGCAAGCGUUGUUCGGAUUUACUGGGCGUAAAGGGCGCGUAGGCGGUCGUGACAAGUCACUUGUGAAAUCUCCGGGCUUAACUCGGAACGGCCAAGUGAUACUGUCGUGCUAGAGUGCAGAAGGGGCAAUCGGAAUUCUUGGUGUAGCGGUGAAAUGCGUAGAUAUCAAGAGGAACACCUGAGGUGAAGACGGGUUGCUGGGCUGACACUGACGCUGAGGCGCGAAAGCUAGGGGAGCAAACGGG
rnacentral:rRNA from 1 species